CAAGGAGUGUCAAGAGACUCAAUGACUGAACACUGGGCCACCUACAGCUGCCUCAAUCCGGAAGCCCGCGAUGGAGAGCCAGGGGAGAUGUCACGGAGGUACUGUGUCAUCCUCAGCCAUGCUGGCCCUGUGAGCUGCCAGCCUUCUCUCACAUUGCUUCUGGUUCACUUGGAGACCACACAGCUGGUUUCUGAGAGUGAGGCUGGGGAGGCUUCCAAAAUAGCUAUAGAUGUUGGUUUCCGCCAUACCGAUGCUUCUUAUGUGUAUCAAAAUGAAGGGGAAGUAGGUCUUGCCAUCCAAACAAGAUUGCAGAUGGCACUAUGAAGAGAGAAUAUGUAUUCUACAUUUAAAAG